rnacentral:rRNA from 1 species
AAUCAACGCUGGCGGCGUGCCUAACACAUGCAAGUCGAACGCGAAAGGGGCUUCGGCCCUGAGUAGAGUGGCGUCCGGGUGAGUAACGCGUGGGUAAUCUACCCUCGGGUGGGGAAUAACCAAUCGAAAGAUUGGCUAAUACCGCAUAAUGCAGCGGCUCGACGUCGAGACAGUUGUUAAAGCAGCAAUGCGCCAGAGGAGGAGCCUGCGUCUGAUUAGCUUGUUGGCGGGGUAACGGCCCACCAAGGCUACGAUCAGUAGCUGGUCUGAGAGGACGGCCAGCCACAAUGGCACUGAAACACGGGCCAUACUCCUACGGGAGGCAGCAGUGGGGAAGUUUUGGUACAAUAGGGGGAAACCCGUGAUCCAGCGACGCCGCGUGUGUGAAGAAGGCCUGCGGGUUGUAAAGCAC